UACGUAGGGUGCAAGCGUUAAUCGGAAUUACUGGGCGUAAAGCGUGCGCAGGCGGCUUUGCAAGACAGAUGUGAAAUCCCCGGGCUUAACCUGGGAACUGCAUUUGUGACUGCAUGGCUGGAGUGCGGCAGAGGGGGGAUGAAUUCCGCGUGUAGCAGUGAAAUGCGUAGAUAUGCGGAGGAACACCGAUGGCGAAGGCAGUCCCUGGCCUGCACUGACGCUCAUGCACGAAGCGUGGGGAGCAAACAGGAUAGAACCCGGUAG
rnacentral:rRNA from 1 species